rnacentral:rRNA from 1 species
AGAGUUUGAUCCUGGCUCAGAACGAACGCUGGCGGCAGGCUUAACACAUGCAAGUCGAGCGCUUCACUUCGGUGAGGAGCGGCGGACGGGUUAGUAACGCGUGGGAACGUACCCUUUUCUAAGGAAUAGCCAUUGGAAACGAUGAGUAAUACCUUAUAAGCCCUUCGGGGGAAAGAUUUAUCGGUAAAGGAUCGGCCCGCGUUAGAUUAGAUAGUUGGUGAGGUAACGGCUCACCAAGUCUACGAUCUAUAGCUGGUUUUAGAGGAUGAUCAGCAACACUGGGACUGAGACACGGCCCAGACUCCUACGGGAGGCAGCAGUGGGGAAUCUUGGACAAUGGGCGCAAGCCUGAUCCAGCCAUGCCGCGUGUGUGAUGAAGGCCUUAGGGUCGUAAAGCACUUUCGCCAGAGAUGAUAAUGACAGUAUCUGGUAAAGAAACCCCGGCUAACUCCGUGCCAGCAGCCGCGGUAAUACGGAGGGGGUUAGCGUUGUUCGGAAUUACUGGGCGUAAAGCGUACGUAGGCGGAUCAGAAAGUAUGGGGGUGAAAUCCCAGGGCUCAACCCUGGAACUGCCUCAUAAACUCCUGGUCUUGAGUUCGAGAGAGGUGAGUGGAAUUCCAAGUGUAGAGGUGAAAUUCGUAGAUAUUUGGAGGAACACCAGUGGCGAAGGCGGCUCACUGGCUCGAUACUGACGCUGAGGUACGAAAGUGUGGGGAGCAAACAGGAUUAGAUACCCUGGUAGUCCACACCGUAAACGAUGAAUGCCAGACGUCGGGUAGCAUGCUAUUCGGUGUCACACCUAACGGAUUAAGCAUUCCGCCUGGGGAGUACGGUGUGGAAGAUUAAAACUCAAAGGGAUAGACGGGGACCCACACAAGCCGGUGGAGCACCUGGCUUAAUUCGAUAAUGAGCGAGGAACCUCACCUGGACUUGACAUCCCGAGAAUUUCCUAGAAAUAGGAAAGUGCCUUAUUGGAACUCGGUGACAGGUUGCUGCAUUGGUUGUCGUCAGCUCGUGCCUUGAGGUGUUCGGUUAAGUCCGUAAACGAGCGCAACCCAUGUCCUGUGUUGUAUUUUUCACGGGAGACUGCCGAUUCAAAGUCGGAGGAAGGUAUGGAUGACGUCAGAUCAGCAUGGCCCUUAUGUCCAGGGCUGCACAGGUGCUACAAUGGCAGGUACAAUGGGUAGCAAUACUGUAAGGCGGAGCCAAUCCUUAAAACCUGUCUUAGUUCGGAUUGAGGGCUGCAAUUUGCCCUCAUGAAGUUGGAAUCGCUAGUAAACGCGCAUCAGCAAUGGCGCGUUGAAUAUGUUCCUGGGUCUUGUACUCACCGCCAGUAACACUACGGAAGGUGGGGGCGCCCGAAGUACCCUUAGCUUUUAGCGGGGUCAUAAGGCGCAAUCACUGACUGGGGUGAAGUCGUAACAAGGUAACC